UCCCUGGUGGCUCAGAGGUUAAAGCAUCUGCCUGGAAUGCGGGAGACCUGGGUUCGAUCCCUGGGUUGGGAA
rfam:TPA: Bos taurus chromosome 23, whole genome shotgun sequence.